GACGAACGCUGGCGGCGUGCCUAACACAUGCAAGUGGAGCGACGAACCAGACUUCGGUCUGGGGCCAAGCCGCGAACGGGUGAGUAACACGUGGGUAACCUGCCCCGAUGAUCGGGACAACCCGGGGAAACCCGGGCUAAUACCGAAUGUGGUCGCGGUCCGUGAGGACUGUGACGAAAGGAAGCUUCGGCCUCCGCAUCGGGAUGGGCCCGCGGCCCAUUAGCUUGUUGGUGGGGUAAUGGCCUACCAAGGCAUCGAUGGGUAGCUGGUCUGAGAGGACGAUCAGCCACACUGGGACUGAGACACGGCCCAGACUCCUACGGGAGGCAGCAGUGGGGAAUCUUGCGCAAUGCGCGAAAGCGUGACGCAGCAACGCCGCGUGGGGGAAGAAGGCUUUCGGGUCGUAAACCCCUUUCAGUUGGGACGAAGCUUCGCCGGUGAAUAGCCGGCCGGAGUGACGGUACCUUCACAAGAAGCCCCGGCUAACUACGUGCCAGCCGCCGCUGUAA
rnacentral:rRNA from 1 species